CCUGGUCACAGUGCUGUGUUCACUUCAGACUGAGCCACCAGCUGUUCUCCACAUAUUCUGGGCUGAACCUUUAUUUACAGUCCCACCUUGUCUGGAAUACUCCUUUUACCUGUCAUUACCAGGAAUGUCAUUACUCAUCUUUCAGCUGUAGGUCUCUGUGUACCAAGGUAGCAAGUGAUGCUUGGACCCUGUGGAGCAGCUGCCAUGAGGUGAACAGGCCUCCUUUCUCUACCACACAAUCCUUCUGUGAUGCACUGUGCAGCUACAGGCCCAGAGCAGCAGGCACAAGCAACCAUGGACUAAAACCUCUGAAACCAUGAG
ensembl:lncRNA